CGGGUCUUCACGUCCCGGACUCGUCUACUUGUGGCGUCUCCUGUACUUUUCCCUCCUUGUCGAAGCCUAGUUUCCAGUCUCGUUUGCGCUCGAUGCCCCUGCCGAGCUGCCUCAUUCUUGAUCCAUGCCCCCAACGCCGCUCAAACCAGACGCCGAGCCUGAGGUACCUUGCUGCGAAACUCUUCCUCUUCUCCCUUCUUAGUCGCCUAAUAUUUUGUGACGUCGGCGUAGGCGUCGAUGACGUCUUCUUCAAUGUCCACAGUGUCAACCUCGACGUCGGUGACGUUUUUCUCAAUAACCUUAACACCAGCCUCAUCGUCGGUGACGUCCCUCUCAAUAACUACAAUGCUAGCCUCAAUGUCGAUGAGGUCUCUCUCAAUAACCAUGGCGCCAACCUCGACGUUGGUGACGUAAUAACCUCGGUGUCAACUUCAACGUCGGCGUCAACUUCGACAUCAGCGUCAACCUCGACGUCGGCAUAGGCAUUUUUCUCAAUAACCUCGACAUUGGCGCCAACCUCGACGUCGGUGUCAACCUCUACGACUGCGCAGACCUCGACGUCGGCAUGGGCAUCUUUCUCAAUAACAACGGCAUCAACCUCAACGUCGGCGCCCACCUCGACAUUGAUGACGUCUUUCUCAAUAACCUCAACGCCAACCUUGACGUUGGUGACAUCUUCUCGAUGAUAGUGACGCCUGCCUCUACAUCGAUGACUCUGGCCUCGAUAACCAUCAUCAGUAUUUCCAUGGCCCCAACGUCGAUGACGCCCUUUUAGAUGACUGUGACGCCUGCCUUAAUGUCGAUGACGCCAACCUCGAUGACCAUCUCUAAUGGUUGGCACGAUCGCUCCCUCAAGGAUCCGCC
rnacentral:lncRNA from 1 species